UACGUAGGGGGCAAGCGUUGUCCGGAUUUAUUGGGCGUAAAGAGCGUGUAGGCGGUUUGGUAGGUCCGCUGUGAAAACUCGAGGCUCAACCUCGAGACGCCGGUGGAAACCAUCAGACUAGAGUCCGGAAGAGGAGAGUGGAAUUCCUGGUGUAGCGGUGAAAUGCGCAGAUAUCAGGAGGAACACCGGUGGCGAAGGCGGUGGGCUGGGCCGGCACUGACGCUGAGGAGCGAAAGCGUGGGGAGCGAACAGG
rnacentral:rRNA from 1 species